rnacentral:rRNA from 1 species
UUGUUGGUAAGGUAAAAGCUUACCAAGGCUUCGAUCAGUAGCUGGUCUGAGAGGACGGCCAGCCACACUGGGACUGAGACACGGCCCAGACUCCUACGGGAGGCAGCAGUGGGGAAUUUUGGACAAUGGGGGCAACCCUGAUCCAGCCAUGCCGCGUGAGUGAAGAAGGCRUUCGGGUUGUAAAGCUCUUUCAGCCGGAACGAAACGGUUACGGUUAAUACCCGUGACUACUGACGGUACCGGAAGAAGAAGCACCGGCUAACUACGUGCCAGCAGCCGCGGUAAUACGUAGGGUGCAAGCGUUGAUCGGAAUUACUGGGCGUAAAGCGUGCGCAGGUGGUCUUGUAAGUCAGAUGUGAAAUCCCCGGGCUUAACCUGGGAACUGCGUUUGAAACUACAAGGCUAGAGUGUGGCAGAGGGGGGUGGAAUUCCGCGUGUAGCAGUGAAAUGCGUAGAUAUGUGGAGGAACACCGAUGGCGAAGGCAGCCCCCUGGGUCAACACUGACGCUCAGGCACGAAAGCAUGGGGAGCAAACAGGAUUAGAUACCCUGGUAGUCCAUGCCCUAAACGAUGUCAACUAGUUGUCGGGCCUUAACGGGCUUGGUAACGUAGCUAACGCGUGAAGUUGACCGCCUGGGGAGUACGAUCGCAAGAUUAAAACUCAAAGGAAUUGACGGGGACCCGCACAAGCGGUGGAUUAUGUGGAUUAAUUCGAUGCAACGCGAAAAACCUUACCUACCCUUGACAUGUAUCGAAGCCCGCAGAGAAGCGGGUGUGCCCGAAAGGGAACGAUAACACAGGUGCUGCAUGGCUGCCGUCAGCUCGUGUCGUGAGAUGUUGGGUUAAGUCCCGCAACGAGCGCAACCCUUGUCAUUAAUUGCCAUCAUUUAGUUGGGCACUUUAAUGAGACUGCCGG